rnacentral:rRNA from 1 species
GAUGAACGCUGGCGGCGUGCCUAAUACAUGCAAGUCGAGCGAACAGAUGAGGAGCUUGCUCCUCUGACGUUAGCGGCGGACGGGUGAGUAACACGUGGAUAACCUACCUAUAAGACUGGGAUAACUUCGGGAAACCGGAGCUAAUACCGGAUAAUAUAUUGCACCGCAUGGUUCAAUAGUGAAAGACGGUUUUGCUGUCACUUCUAGAUGGAUCCGCGCCGCAUUAGCUAGUUGGUAAGGUAACGGCUUACCAAGGCAACGAUGCGUAGCCGACCUGAGAGGGUGAUCGGCCACACUGGAACUGAGACACGGUCCAGACUCCUACGGGAGGCAGCAGUAGGGAAUCUUCCGCAAUGGGCGAAAGCCUGACGGAGCAACGCCGCGUGAGUGAUGAAGGUCUUCGGAUCGUAAAACUCUGUUAUUAGGGAAGAACAAAUGUGUAAGUAACUAUGCACGUCUUGACGGUACCUAAUCAGAAAGCCACGGCUAACUACGUG